rnacentral:rRNA from 1 species
UGAGGGGGGGCGUGGGGGACGCUACUGAUCGAAAGAUUACUAGUUGGUGAGGUAAUGGCUCACCAAGGCGACGAUCCGUAACUGGUCUGAGAGGAUGAUCAUCACACUGGAACUGAGACACGGUCCAGACUCCUACGGGAGGCAGCAGUGGGGAAUAUUGGACAAUGGGCGAAAGCCUGAUCCAGCCAUGCCGCGUGUGUGAAGAAGGUCUUCGGAUUGUAAAGCACUUUAAGUUGGGAGGAAGGGUUGUAGAUUAAUACUCUGCAAUUUUGACGUUACCGACAGAAUAAGCACCGGCUAACUCUGUGCCAGCAGCCGCGGUAAUACAGAGGGUGCAAGCGUUAAUCGGAAUUACUGGGCGUAAAGCGCGCGUAGGUGGUUUGUUAAGUUGGAUGUGAAAGCCCCGGGCUCAACCUGGGAACUGCAUUCAAAACUGACAAGCUAGAGUAUGGUAGAGGGUGGUGGAAUUUCCUGUGUAGCGGUGAAAUGCGUAGAUAUAGGAAGGAACACCAGUGGCGAAGCGACCACCUGGACUGAUACUGACACUGAGUGCGAAAGCGUGGGGAGCAAACAGGAUUAGAUACCCUGGUAGUCCACGCCGUAAACGAUGUCAACUAGCCGUUGGGAACCUUGAGUUCUUAGUGGCGCAGCUAACGCAUUAAGUUGACCGCCUGGGGAGUACGGCCGCAAGGUUAAAACUCAAAUGAAUUGACGGGGCCCGCACAAGCGUGGACAUGUGUUUAAUUCAAGCAACGCGAAAACCUUACCCCUUGACUCCAUGACUUUCAGGAUUGGCCUUCGGGAUUACCUGCAUGGCUGUCGUCAGCUCGCGAAUUGGAUCCCUCCACCUCACUUAUGGGGCACGGCC